AAAAUUUAGCCCUUCAGGUUUAGUAAUGAGAAGAAAAAAAAACCCAAACAAACACAAAAAACCCCCAGCAAAUCACAAGUCUAAGAACUCAAAGCCACAAGGUAACUUGUGAUUAGGAAUAUAUUGCUAAACUAUGAAUUGGUUCCCAGCACCCAUCAAUGCCAACUCCUCCACAUCCCUAAAGUUUUCUUGAUGGAUUAUGACAAGAGAUGGUGUUAGUAGAGGAUGGAGUGGGGAAUUUAAAAUCUCUGUUUCACCAGUUUGUCUGGGAUGGAAGAGCCACUCCUGCAAUUGCCAUUCCUAAAACAAUGCCAGGAACAGCCACAAACAGGUGGAAUGAGAUCACUUUUACACAACUGGUUGGAAUGGGGCAAAGUCAUUCCUGGUGUAACUUCAUAGGCACCAAGUGAACUCCAUUCAGAGUCAUUUGGAUCAGUAAAUAUAAGGAGAUGAUCCCUUGUCACUGUCCCACUAAUCCUGAUCCCACUUCUGCUAAAACUCAAAUUCCAACUGUUUUCAGUGAUGCAGAAUUUGGACUUCUCAAAAAUCUCUUAAAUGCUCUGCAAUAUUCUCAGCAAUAUGGACAGAAGAAAAAAAUGACUGUUUCCUCUACCGACAAAAGGUUUUCCAGGAGAACUAGACCAGACAGGGAAUGGCAUUCCUGUGUAACAGGGAGUGCCACUGAAGUACUGGUUAUUUCCCCCUCCCUCGCUUCACCAGAUUCCUCUCAGCAGGAAACAUUACACUUUAAUGCAGAUUUCCAGGAUUUCCCUUAUCAGCUCCCCAUACAGCACAUGCAGGAGUCAGACAGCUCUUGCAAUUCUAUUAAGAACCAUUUUACAUUAACCCAACUUCUAUAACCUACCUAAUAUAACACAAAUAUUAAUACAUUAUAGUUAUUUCAUCUAAUUAGCUUUUCAUUGUUUUAACUCAAGUGCAAUCUCACAUCAUGUUCUGCAAUUCUCUAAUACUGGGUGUACUCAGCACAAUAUGAUAAAUGAAAACAUGUACCAAGCUCAUAAAACAUGGUUAAAAAUCUGUCUUAGCAGAAGCCAAACGGAACCCCUCCAUCUCUGGCAAAGACCAGAUUUUAAUUCUGCUAUGACUUCAUGUCACUGCAAACUUUUUCAUAUGGAAAAAGCUCCAGCUUGUACCGACUGUGGCAGCCUGCCUGCUCAGGGGACAAGCUGGUGGCAGUGCAGCAUCCCAGAUCUCCUCUAAAGGAAAUUCCAAUUCUAUAUCUUAGCCUUAAUUUUUAAAAUCUACCAGAAUGGGCCAGGCUCAGACUGCAGCAAAUAAUAUUUGUCUUUUCCCAACAGGACCUCUCCUAACAAACACAUGGGUGGAAACUCUUGGGAAUCAGCUGUGUGCAUCCCAAAAUCUGCAGUUUUCCCUGGGAUAUGGCUGAGCUGGGGCUCAGUUCUUCACCCUACACAGAUUUACAGACACAGCUUCACAUGGGCAGCACCCAGCUGCUGUCCCUCUGCAGACUAUCCCAUGGAGCUAGAUUUUCUUGUUUGAAUCGAUUUAUUACCAAGAAAUUAUAUUUUUCCUUUAAAAACUAAAUUUAAAAAAAGAAAAUUUUUAGCCAUCCUGGUUACACAGAGAAAUAGAAAGUAUAUCUUAAGUAUAUAUUUCAGAAGGUUAAAAUAAAAAAGGCAAAGAGCCCAAAACCACCAAAUGUAUUCAUUAAAAAAAAAAAAAAAAAAAA
rnacentral:lncRNA from 1 species